rnacentral:rRNA from 1 species
CGCCUCUUGAUAAAUUAUAAGAGGUCCAGCCUGCCCAGUGAAAAAUUUAACGGCCGCGGUACCCUGACCGUGCGAAGGUAGCAUAAUCACUUGUUCUUUAAAUAAGGACUAGUAUCAACGGCAUCACGAGGGUUACACUGUCUCCUUUCUCCAAUCAGUGAAACUGAUCUUCCCGUGAAGAAGCGGGAAUAUAACCAUAAGACGAGAAGACCCCAUGGAGCUUUAAAUUUUAUAGCAACUCAGUCAAAUAAACCCUUAUAAUCCACAGAGCCAUGCAUGCCAAUUUUAGGUUGGGGUGACCGCGGAGUAAAAAUUAACCUCCACGACGAAAAGAACUAGAUCUUUAUCUAAGAGCUACAGCUCUAAGAAUUAGUAUACUAACGACAAUGACCCGAUAAUCGAUCAACGGACUAAGUUACCCUGGGGAUAACAGCGCAAUCUACUUCGAGAGCUCAUAUCGACAAGUAGGCUUACGACCUCGAUGUUGGAUCAGGGUAUCCCAGUGGUGCAGCCGCUACUAAUGGUUCGUUUGUUCAACGAUUAAAACCCU